rnacentral:rRNA from 1 species
CCUACGGGUGGCAGCAGUGAGGAAUAUUGGUCAAUGGCCGCGAGGCUGAACCAGCCAAGUCGCGUGAGGGAAGACGGCCCUACGGGUUGUAAACCUCUUUUGUCGGGGAGCAAAGAGAGUAUCGUGUGUCUCAUUGAGCGUACCCGAAGAAAAAGCAUCGGCUACCUCCGUGCCAGCAGCCGCGGUAAUACGGAGGAUGCGAGCGUUAUCCGGAUUUAGUGGGUUUAAAGGGUGCGCAGGCGGAGGUGCAAGUCAGCGGUAAAAUUGCGGGGCUCAACCCCGUACUGCCGUUGAACCUGCAGCCCUUGAGUGCGCGAGAAGUAUGCGGAAUGCGUGGUGUAGCGGUGAAAUGCAUAGAGAUCACGCAGAACUCCGAUUGCGAAGGCAGCAUACCGGCGCGCAACUGACGCUCAUGCACGAAAGCGUGGGUAUCGAACAGGAUUAGAUACCCGUGUAGUC